UCGAGAAUUUUUCACAAUGGGGGAAACCCUGAUGGAGCGACGCCGCGUGGAGGAUGAAGGCCUUCGGGUUGUAAACUCCUGUCAUGCGGGAACAAGCAAGUGAUAGUACCGCAAGAGGAAGAGACGGCUAACUCUGUGCCAGCAGCCGCGGUAAUACAGAGGUCUCAAGCGUUGUUCGGAUUCAUUGGGCGUAAAGGGUGCGCAGGUGGUGGCGCAAGUCUGGUGUGAAAUCUCGGAGCUCAACUCCGAAAUUGCACCGGAUACUGCGUUACUCGAGGACUGUAGAGGAGAUCGGAAUUCACGGUGUAGCAGUGAAAUGCGUAGAUAUCGUGAGGAAGACCAGUUGCGAAGGCGGAUCUCUGGGCAGUUCCUGACACUGAGGCACGAAGGCCAGGGGAGCAAACG
rnacentral:rRNA from 1 species